UACAGAGGGGGCAAGCGUUGUUCGGAAUUACUGGGCGUAAAGGGCGCGUAGGCGGCCUGUUAAGUCGAACGUGAAAUCCCCGGGCUCAACCCGGGAACUGCGUCCGAUACUGGCAGGCUUGAAUUCGGGAGAGGGAUGCGGAAUUCCAGGUGUAGCGGUGAAAUGCGUAGAUAUCUGGAGGAACACCGGUGGCGAAGGCGGCAUCCUGGACCGGGAUUGACGCUGAGGCGCGAAAGCCAGGGGAGCAAACGGG
rnacentral:rRNA from 1 species